CCAACUGAGCCACCCAGGUGUCCCCAGACUAAAGGGUUUUAAUACAGCAAAUGCAGGAUGUAUUGGCCUUUUCAGCUGAUUGCCUAGUGAUCUUCUUUCAUAUUUGGAUCAGGGUAGCCCAGUCAGUGGAACGGGAAAGUCCCUAGAUGACAUAACAGACUUGGUGUUUGGGGAUUGGUUGGCGUCCUUUGCUGAUUUUUGAGAAAAGCUGCCAAUUUCUGUAACUUAGGAGAAUAAUGUGCCCAUCUUGAAGAUUCAAUACAUAGAAGUGACAUCUGCCAGCCAUAUCCCAAAGAAACAAUCUAAUUUACAGGAGUCAGGUGUCUGAAAUCUGAGAAGUAUACCACUACUAUAAGAAUUUCUUUACAGACAUACCUCAGAGAUGUUGCCGGUUUGGUUCCAGACCACCACAAAUAAAGUGAAUAUUGCAAUAAAAACCCCAUCGCCACCCUGUGAGUGAGCCAACCUGAAGGAUAAUGAGACACCAGUGGCAUAUUUGUUUCAAUAUCCCUGGCUGACAACAAGCAGACAUGUGAGAUCCAGCACUCCUUCCCAAACUUCUCAAGAUCAAGCUAUGCUAUUAUCUGUUGAAGAAAGAAAUCAUGAACUUCCCGUUUCUUUUUUAUCUGGCCAAAACCAGAGAACAUGGAUUUCAGGUCUACCUAAAUGGCCAGCACAAGAAGCAAAAGGAUGUUCCACUUCUCUGGAGGGUUCUACUUUGAUCCUAUCGCUAAAACUGACAAGGGUCAACCAGUCAACACUGACUUGUUGAAAGAAAAACUUCAUCUUGAACUACUGAGAAGGGGUGACAGGCGUGUGUUUCCAUACUGUUAAUAUGUUAAGAGAAGGUAAGUAUGAUUUUCUUCCCAGCUAAGGCAAUACAACUAAAAUACU